rnacentral:lncRNA from 1 species
AGCCAAUUCAAUAUUUGGAGUUGUGUUUUAUCUUCCAAAGGCCUCAGUAAACAUUUGUAGAACUGACCAGUGUUGGAUUGGGCAUGGUGUCUCUUCACAGCCAUGGGCAGAGGGACCAUAAACGUAGGGGGCAGGGAUGGGCAGCGGUCAGAGGGAGCCAUGGAAGCUUCAGAGGGAGCACAACUCUGCAAUGCCCCGACUUGGGACUUCUGGCCUCCAGGACUGAGAGUAAAUAGUUGUCGUUUGAAGGUGCUGUGCAUGAUAAUUUGUCACGGCAACACUGGGAAACCACUGGCAACAUGGACCCCUUAUCUGGAUACAGUGGCAGAAAAGAAAGCUCUGCAAGAAGUUCCCGUAAAGCAUGUCCUUGCCCUUAGUGCCCAUUUCCUCCUCUGUCAAAUGAGGCAAAUACUUCCAGCCCUGAUGAGAUAAUGGCCUCAUCAGCAGGGCAACUCUGACGGUGUGGGUGAGGCUGUUCUAGGUUUCGCGCUGCCAGGCAGCGCCUCUCUCCUAGCCUCCGUUUUCUCAUCUGCCAAGUGGGGCAGUAAGCCCUGCCCUGGUGACUCCAUUGCCAAGGAGAGGGGAGGCGUGAGCGGACUUAUGGAUUGGGGUAGAGUUGGGUGCCAGGGGGCUGAGAACACAUGUGAGGGACCUGAAUCUUGCCAUAUUAACUAAGGGCGAUGGUUUCUGUAGUACCGUUUCUGCUAUCCAACAAGGCCUUGUAAACAAAUAUAACGUCUGGGCCCACCCAGGAGGAGCUGGUGAGUGCCUGAGGAGUAGAUGGCCAGUGGGGAUGGGUGAAGAACACAUAGAAUAGUGACAUCUGAUAUGGCGCCCCUUGAACACACAGGCAAAGGAAGAGAUGGGGCAUUUUGAGUCACAUGGAUUGGGGUAGGACUGUUUCCCCCCAAAAAGGCUUUUUGAGUUAUGUUGUAAAGAUGUCAGAGGGAGACUCACAUUUAAGACUGAAGCUCUCCUUCCUUCACACCCUUGCCAGGACUCCCUCUGACCACCCCAAUCCCUGCCCCCCUCCGUUUGUGGUCCCUCUGCCCAUUGCCAUGAGGAGAGUGUCCAAUCCAAUAUCAGUCAGUUCCACAAAUGUUUACUGAGCCCUUUGGAAAAUAAAACACAACUCCAAAUAUUAAAUUUACUUAGCACUCUGCAGUUUACAGAGCACUUCCAAAUGCAUUCUGUGGUCACUACAAUAACCCUGAAAGGAAAAAAAGAUGAUUAUCUCUCACUCCACAAAAAAGAAACUGAGGGUCAGAGAAGAGAGACAACUUGCUCAAGGCCAUUUGAUUGGAGGUUGCCUGACUCCUGGAGCUGCUCUUCCCCGUCUCCUUGCUGCCUUGCUGUCAUGUCACCUGCUGUCUCACUGGGUCAUUUGGGCGUGUGCCCCUCGCACGCCUGUAUCUUCCCAACUGGUGUCAGCUCGAAACCCUCUGUGGUCUGCAGUGCUCAGCCUGGCUUUCCAGGUCUGGGCAGCUCCCUCCUUCCAGAUCCUGCCUGUGAUUCCAGCUCCUUUCCCUUGCUGUACAAAGUUCCCACCUCUGCACUUUGCCUCACUCUUUCUUCCUGCCCACUGGUACGUAUCCCAGUCCUUCCCACACUUCAGGUCUCCCUCGGCUGCACAGGAGGCUCAAAUCCAGCAUAGAUUCCUGAAGUCCUGGGUCCAAGUUCUAGCUCUGCUACUGACUUCUUGUGACUGUGUGACCUUGGGCAGGUCACUUUCCCUCUCUGGGCCUCCAUUUCAUCACUAUGAAAUAGGAGUGUUGAACACAAUACUCUAAAUGCAUCUCCAUGUGGUCUAAGUACCCCCCUCCCCGGCCCCUCCCUGCCCUUCCCCCUCCUCUGAUCAUCCUGUGUGCUCACCAUCCACAAUCCCCUCUCCUGGCUCCACAUCAUUCUCCAAAGGGUUCAUGUUCAAUCAUUCAGUUAGACUUUAAACUCCCUAAGAGCAGAGGAGGGUGAUUUUGGCCAAGAUAUGCAGAUCGAUUCAUCAGUAAUCCACUGACCACCUCCAUUUAGGUUGGGAGCCUCUUUAUCUUCCCUCUUUAGUUUCUUCAAGGUGCACACACAGAUACCUACAGCAGGCAGGAAUCCAGGUGGGGCACCAGGCAUCUCUGCUCACCUUGGCUGCUGGUGGUGGGGUGCCUGCCUGUGCUGUGCAUGCUGCAGCUUUGGCAGGGUGGCCAAUCAGUCCAGUGCCAGCCUUUGCCUCCCAGAGAAUGCUUCACACCCUAUUCUUCCCCCAAACCCAUCACUGGCCCAGACAUCAAAAGCACACAUCCCUGUGCUAUUCCCCUUCAAAGAGCUUCAUAUCUAAUAUCUCACUGAGUCCCCCGACUAGCCUUGGAAAGGCAAAGCAGGGAUUAUUAAUCUCCAUUUUGUAGAUGGUGAGGGUCUUGUCCAAGGCUACUCUGAAUUCAGCAUAGAGCUGGGACUGGGCUCCACUCUUGUGUCCAGUCAUUCUUGUCAAACUCUGGUCUGUGGAAUAUACAUGCCUGCCUCUGUGUAGGCCCCAGUCUCUUUCCCUUUAAGAACUUGGGUCUGAGAGGACAAGCGCAUGUCGCACGCACACACACACGCACAUGCAUACACACCCUUACAAGAUGCACAGCCACCAAAAAGCCUAAUAAAGCAAGGUGCCCAAGACCACGGUUCAGGAUCCGUAAAAAUGGCCGGAGAUAAUUGACUGCAACCUAUUCACUGCAAAUGGGGCAACUUGGGCCCACAAAGGGCCAGAGACUUGACCCGAGUCACAGAGUAGACUAGAGCCCAGGUCUCUGGACUCCCAGUCCUGUGCUCUCUCCACUGUGUGUGCCCUCAGCAAACAAGCUGUGUCCACUGAGUGGCAGAGGUCCAGGCCCAGCGCCUUCCAGUCUAGGAGCCUGUGACCUGGGACAGGAUCCCUGGGGAAAGGGUGAGGGCUGGCAAAGGGCCCGCCACCCUGAGCACUCCAAGAGACAGGGGUGGAACUCACUUCAAGGAUUCAGGGCGGCGAGGAUCCUCUCCCACCGGCGAAGCGGACACCGCGGUGGGGCUGCGAGUACCCAGUUGUUGUUUUUUUCUCCUUCCCUGUUCUCCACCCCAUGCACUUUUCCGAGGGGCAAGCUCCGCAGUUCUCCCAUCAAGGAGGCUCUCCAGGCUCCCUGCCGGCCUUCGGCUCCUGGGGUGGAGGUGGGCGUGGGGUACAUGGGCCCUAGGAGAAUGGGGUGUGAGAGACUCCCCUGGGCUUAUGGCUU